AGAGUUUGAUCCUGGCUCAGAUUGAACGCUGGCGGCAUGCUUUACACAUGCAAGUCGAACGGCAGCACGGGCUUCGGCCUGGUGGCGAGUGGCGAACGGGUGAGUAAUGCAUCGGAACGUACCGUGUAGUGGGGGAUAACGUAGCGAAAGUUACGCUAAUACCGCAUACGCCCCGAGGGGGAAAGUGGGGGACCGCAAGGCCUCACGCUAUAUGAGCGGCCGAUGUCGGAUUAGCUAGUUGGUAGGGUAAAGGCCUACCAAGGCGACGAUCCGUAGCGGGUCUGAGAGGAUGAUCCGCCACACUGGGACUGAGACACGGCCCAGACUCCUACGGGAGGCAGCAGUGGGGAAUUUUGGACAAUGGGCGCAAGCCUGAUCCAGCCAUGCUGCGUGAGUGAAGAAGGCCUUCGGG
rnacentral:rRNA from 1 species